rnacentral:rRNA from 1 species
GAUCUUUAUAUAUUAUAAAUUUUAAUAAAAGAAAGAUAAAUAUUUUUAUAAAAAUUUAUUUAUAUUAUAUUGGGGUAAUAAUAAAAUUUUAUAAAUUUUUAUUUUUUAAAAACAAUUUAAUUGAAUUAUUGAUCCAUUAUUAUUGAUUAAAAAAUUAAGUUACCUUAGGGAUAACAGCAUAAUGAUUUUUAAGAGUUCUUAUCAAUAAAAUAGUUUAU